ACGCUGGCGGCAGGCCUAACACAUGCAAGUCGAGCGGUAGAGAGAAGCUUGCUUCUCUUGAGAGCGGCGGACGGGUGAGUAAUGCCUAGGAAUCUGCCUGGUAGUGGGGGAUAACGUUCGGAAACGGACGCUAAUACCGCAUACGUCCUACGGGAGAAAGCAGGGGACCCUCGGGCCUUGCGCUAUCAGAUGAGCCUAGGUCGGAUUAGCUAGUUGGUGGGGUAAUGGCUCACCAAGGCGACGAUCCGUAACUGGUCUGAGAGGAUGAUCAGUCACACUGGAACUGAGACACGGUCCAGACUCCUACGGGAGGCAGCAGUGGGGAAUAUUGGACAAUGGGCGAAAGCCUGAUCCAGCCAUGCCGCGUGUGUGAAGAAGGUCUUCGGAUUGUAAAGCACUUUAAGUUGGGAGGAAGGGCAGUUACCUAAUACGUGAUUGUUUUGACGUUACCGACAGAAUAAGCACCGGCUAACUCUGUGCCAGCAGCCGCGGUAAUACAGAGGAUGCAAGCGUUAAUCGGAAUUACUGGGCGUAAAGCGCGCGUAGGUGGUUUGUUAAGUUGGAUGUGAAAUCCCCGGGCUCAACCUGGGAACUGCAUUCAAAACUGACUGACUAGAGUAUGGUAGAGGGUGGUGGAAUUUCCUGUGUAGCGGUGAAAUGCGUAGAUAUAGGAAGGAACACCAGUGGCGAAGGCGACCACCUGGACUGAUACUGACACUGAGGUGCGAAAGCGUGGGGAGCAAAC
rnacentral:rRNA from 1 species